AUAUAUACAGUAUUAUUUUAAAUUUUAUAUUAUAUAUAAAAUGCUUAAAGUAAAACAUUUAUAAAUAUAUUUCAUCUGUAUAAAGUAUAUUCAUAUAUAAGCAUAUAUACUUAUAAAUUAUAUCAUUCGCUUACAAAUGAUAUCAUGUUAAGCUAUAUGACUUGAUAUUAAUAAUCAGUUAGAAGAAAACAAAACAAAUAAUGAGAGACUGCUCUAAGGAGGGAAGAGUCAGGGGAAGAUGAAUCCACUCUGGGUGUUUUUAAUGAGAGUCUCCAUUUGGCUUUGUAUAUAACAGAGAAACAUUCGUCCUCUAAGUAACUUCACUUUGACUGUUUUAACUUGUGCUCAGUUGCUCAGUCGUGUCUGGGAUCCCAUGGGCUGCAGCCCAUGAGGCUGCUCUGUCCAUAGGAUUUUCCAGGCAAGAAUGCUAGAGUGGUUUCUCCAGGUGAACUUCCUGACCCAGGGGUUGAACCCGAGUCUCUUUCAUCUCCUGCCCUGGCAGGCGGGAUCUUGACCUCUGCACCGCCUGGGCAGCAGACCAGAAACACUCAGGGCCUGUGAUAUGCUUCUCGCUCAUCCCACUCUCCCGGGCUUCCUGCUCCACAGGAGGCGACAUGCACACAGCAGAAAGGGCCACGGGGCAGGACUCAGCCUGUGUGUGCCCUGCUUUUCCCUAACCCAUCCCACCACGGUUACCCACGCUGACCUAGAUACACAGCCAUCUGUGUUACUGACCCACCCGUCUGGUAGAGAAGGAUGGAGGACCCCAACAACACAUCUGGUGCUAAGAAUACCAGACAAAGCCUGGAUCCACCAUGAGACCACCUACUGUCCAAGGAGGUGUCAGAAAAGGAAGGCAGCUCACAGGAGGACGGACCUUCGCUCAUGGAAGGUGCGCUGGGCAGAGGGGCUCCCUUCACCUCUUCUGAGAACACCUCUACUCCUUGCCAUGGGGUGCGGGCUUUUACGGUGUGGCAAGGAAAAUCAAGAAAGCCAAGCUGGGGGAGGGCCGAGAUGCUUCCAAGCUCGGGUGAAACCAAGUUCAGAUCUAUCUAACUGCAUGUAUCAGGGCAUUUAUUGA
rnacentral:lncRNA from 1 species